GAAACUUUUCAAUUGAAUCAUUUCCCUAAUGGAAUUGAGUUUCUUUAUUCUGACCCCCAUCAAAUUCUCUGCUCCACUUAACAUAGCUUGUCUACUCAUUUUUAGUCUCUAAAAUAUUGUCUGUCAAUUUUUAUCUGUAUCUCUCACUAACUGGGUUGCUUUUUCUCUCUACCCACCAACUUAGUGGUUCUCUUUAUUGUUUACACUUAUUCCUCUACACUUAUCCUCUUGUGAAAUGUAUACCUUUACAUGUUUUAAUUAUCUUCUCUAUACUGAUGACUCAAAAACUCUCAUUUCCUGAAAUUUUACCUCUUACUUUGUCUCUUGUUUCACUCCCCCAAAUUUAUUCCAGAGUCCAUGAAUCAUUCAUUCAAAAAAAAAAAAAAAAAAAAAAAGAACUGGCCAAGCUCCUAGCCAUAUACCAGGCAAUCUUAUAAGCACUGAAGACAGAGUAGUGAUCAAAAAGCCAAAAAUUCCUCUCCCUGUAGAGUAUGAAUGCUAUCAAAGGAGAAAGACAAUAAACAUGAUUUAAAAAGUAAAAUAUUUAAUAUGAU
rnacentral:lncRNA from 1 species